CAUGAAACAAAGAAGACACAUUCCUCAUAUCAUUUCCUAGGGUUGCCUAUAGAAUUGCGUCCAUCUAACUGACAGCUUUUCUCAGCAUGGCCACGAUGCCCUCUCUAGCGGCAGGGUUGUGGCCUCUCCCACCGCUGAGCUGAAAUACUCUGACCAUCCUUCAGCCAACAAGAACUCUACUGCAUGAAAACUGCUCUCUCCACUGCUGAUGCCUGCCUCUACUGCCUCUGCUUUGAGUCAGUGCAAUCCCUCCAAGGUGCAGGACAUUCCCAGGACUAAUGAAAGGAAACAUAGAAGCAAUCUCCUGCUUUAAAAAAUGCCUAUGGGUGUUCAGCACUCAACAUCUGUUUCAGUGCAGAACUGCAUCCUGAUCAAACUAUUUUUGACUUGGGUGACAUAGUAAUUAAGAACAAAUGGGAAUGAAAGAGAUUACUGAUUAUUAGAAAGAAGCUGACAGUAGCCCUAUUCUGGCAACACACUGUGUGGAAUACUUGCCAUGUAGUUGAACAACCCACUCCUAUGGAAAGGAACCCUCUGUAAAGCCAUGCUGUGUCAUCAGAAUUAUCAACACUCCACGAAUACAGUGCAACCGUCUGCUGUACGAAGCUUCCUCAUCUUACGCCCGUGGGGACUGGUGUCAACUCUGCUUGGGGAGUACUACAUGCAUGCAAACGUAUCACUUGAAUGGGACUUGUGUACACAAUAAAACUGCAAGAAUAAAUGGUAGCCAAUGCAUAUUACAGCAAAAUGUAAUGCAAGCCCCCAUUCACUAGUCUUUGCAUAUAGCAAACAAAAUUUCAAUUCACACUUUUGUCUCCAGAUACUGGACAGCAUCUGAUGUUUGACAAAGCAGUCUUGACAACGGCCACUUCUCCUUCAGCUUCAGCGGAGAUUUCAAGUUGCUGGAGCUCCAGCCUCCUUCUCUGCACUGCAUGACGUGUCUGUGUCUGAAGACUCGCAGCAGCACAACUGCAGCCGCUACCAGCGAAGUGCACCCAGCCCUCUUACUCACUCUCCUAGUAGUAGGUGAGAUUUUUGAGCCCUGCACCGCCCUCCUCUCUUUUGAACAAAAAGGGAAAGAGACCUUGACCCAAGCAGCCCCCUUGUGUGCUUUCUGCCUCUUCCAUACUACUUUCCAAAGGCGACUGUUUGCUCUCAUGAGGGCUCACUUCCCAGUCUUGGAUGCUUUCUGCUCCUUUGCCUGCCACCCUUCCCAUCCCCCUCCAACCCUCUUGAACAUGGAAACGGGGAGGAGAGAGCUAAGCAGAUCCUUUGCAUCUCCUUGGUACCUGCAUGCUUCUACCUCCUUGUCACUUUCACUUCUCUCCUUAUCAAUCAAUGCCAAGAACCUCAAGCAUAACUUCUGCCACUCUGCUAAUUUCACUAGUGUGGGUAGCCAUUCUGUGUGUUCUUUAGCUCAUGUGAGAGGGUACCUUUUCCCUCCAACCCUUCUUGGCUUGCCUCAAACCAGGAAAAAAAAAAAAGUAACUAUCUUUGUCUCCUACCUCCUCACCUGGUCCUGAGUUACACUGUUGCUCUUUUUCCAUCUUUGGCUUUAACAUACAUUCAGUUUUAUUUGUCCCUUCUCUUCCUUGAAUGGUCUAUUAAAUUUACGUUUUACCGCAUAUCUGGAUACAACCUGUGUUGUUGGUGUGCCGAAAUUUGUUUUUCUAAAGCUGAUCCUAUGUGUGAGUGUCAUCUUGUGGUCAAGUUAUUCUCAUCUUGCUUAUUUGUGAUUUAGGGCUGUAAUUCUACAAAUG